rnacentral:rRNA from 1 species
AUUGAACGCUGGCGGCAGGCCUAACACAUGCAAGUCGAACGGUAACAGGAAGAAGCUUGCUUCUUUGCUGACGAGUGGCGGACGGGUGAGUAAUGUCUGGGAAACUGCCUGAUGGAGGGGGAUAACUACUGGAAACGGUAGCUAAUACCGCAUAACGUCGCAAGACCAAAGAGGGGGACCUUCGGGCCUCUUGCCAUCGGAUGUGCCCAGAUGGGAUUAGCUAGUAGGUGGGGUAACGGCUCACCUAGGCGACGAUCCCUAGCUGGUCUGAGAGGAUGACCAGCCACACUGGAACUGAGACACGGUCCAGACUCCUACGGGAGGCAGCAGUGGGGAAUAUUGAACAAUGGGCGCAAGCCUGAUGCAGCCAUGCCGCGUGUAUGAAGAGGGCCUUCGGGUUGUAAAGUACUUUCAGCGGGGAGGAAGGGAGUAAAGUUAAUACCUUUGCUCAUUGACGUGACCCGCAGAAGAAGCACCGGCUAACUCCGU